rnacentral:rRNA from 1 species
GAUGAACGCUGGCGGCGUGCCUAAUACAUGCAAGUCGAGCGAACGGACGAGAAGCUUGCUUCUCUGAUGUUAGCGGCGGACGGGUGAGUAACACGUGGAUAACCUACCUAUAAGACUGGGAUAACUUCGGGAAACCGGAGCUAAUACCGGAUAAUAUUUUGAACCGCAUGGUUCAAAAGUGAAAGACGGUCUUGCUGUCACUUAUAGAUGGAUCCGCGCUGCAUUAGCUAGUUGGUAAGGUAACGGCUUACCAAGGCAACGAUGCAUAGCCGACCUGAGAGGGUGAUCGGCCACACUGGAACUGAGACACGGUCUAGACUCCUACGGGAGGCAGCAGUAGGGAAUCUUCCGCAAUGGGCGAAAGCCUGACGGAGCAACGCCGCGUGAGUGAUGAAGUUCUUCGGAUCGUAAAACUCUGUUAUUAGGGAAGAGCAUAUGUGUAAGUAACUGUGCACAUCUUGACGGUACCUAAUCAGAAAGCCACGGCUAACUACGUG